rnacentral:lncRNA from 1 species
UUGGAAACUAUUUGAUGCAUUGCCUACCUUGAUAUCCAUACCUUUAUAGAUACUUCUGAUGAAGUAUCAAAAUAUGAUUUACAAAAAUGCUUAGCCCUGCUUAGAUCUUGUGGAUAGAGGCUGUCUUUUGCAAUAAUGCCUAGCUCAGGGGUUAUCCUGAGGAAGGAUGGCUUCUACCUGCAAGAAUAUUUUCAUUGGGAGCAUGGUGGGAUCUUACUGCAAAGUUCCCUAUAAUGCUCUUUUCAUCCUAAGGAACACAAACAAUCCUAAGGAUGGAAGUACUUAAAUCGGGACUUGGGCUAUGAACAAGUGAUGUUCUACCCAGGUUAAUUAAGGAUUGGAUGCGUAUGUAGGCCUGUAUGAUCAAGGACUAUCUUAACUGGCCACAUGCCCUGGAUAUGGGACAGGGUAAGCUUGAACCCGGCUAUUCCAUACAUGAAAAGACAAUCGCGCACUGGGAGUGGAGAGAUGGCGAGAGUGGCACGUACCCUCCUGGCAAAGGACCGCCUAAAAAGGGUGGUGUGCUCUCGGGUGGCGCGGACCUGUUCAUGCAGUGGAGGAUCCGUGGGAAUGGUUGACAUAUGCAAGGGUUAAGUGCUACAUAUGUCGUGUGGUUAGAGAUCCUCAGCUGAGUAAAUCGAUUCGGAUCGCCGUUAUAUCCCCGGAGAGUGGAGACUUGAUCGCUGCCCUGCAACCUAAGUCAGGAUGUAAACAUUAUGAAUAAAAAUGAUGUUGUAUUGAUGAGAUGGUGAAAUUAGACUAGAUGCUACCAGAGUCUAUUAAUAUUUAAUCUGGCGUUAAAAUAUUGAAAGUAAGGACUCACUUUAGUAAGUUAUUUCUGCAAAAGUAUCUAAGUUGAUUCUUGCUAAAGCCUUUUCCUUGAUUCCUAUUUAACCAGCAUAUCCUUGAGAGUCAUUUUUCCUUAGUCGGGUAAGACUUGCGAAAGUACACUCCGUACUCAGGGUUUUCGAACCCAUGUUGUUGUAGGUGAUGAGGAGUACUCUAGGUGUUCCUAUGGCUGGAGGGCAUUUCCAGUUCUGGAGGAGGAUUAGUUAGGCUUGUGUAUAAUCUUUGGAGGGUUUCUACCUUCCUGCUAUUGUAAUAAGUUAUGCACUUUGAGUAUAUCAGGACUUGUAAUAAAUGUAACUCUUCCUAUGUAAUAAACUUGAGUUUUGAAAAGGUAAAGAAUGUUUGUAAAGUCUUCCGCUCUUAUCUCCGAAGUGUGUGUAUCGAAUGUGAUUACUGUAAUAUGCAUGUAUGGUGGGAGAUCCUUGGGAUGAUGAGUUCAAGUGGUUGAACUCGUGAUAGCCUUGUUAAGUUACCUGGUACACGUGCAUAGCCAUCUGAGGCCAUCAAAGCAAGGAUUGGUGCAUGUGGGCCUGAUAACUUGGGAGGGCUGCCACAGAUUGGUAUCGGAGCGAUCCCCCAUUAACAUGGAUAUUAAAGUAAUCCUUUGAUAUACUUGAAAAGGAUUUUGAGUCCAAACUAUUUUGGAAAAACUUAAGAAUAUGAUCAAAUCCUGAUAGUCGAAGUGCAAAUAGUAUAUAGUUAAGUUAAGGACUAUAAGGUGGCUUAGUUUAGGAUUCUAACCACUAACCCACAACUAUAAUGCAAUUUUCUGCAGGUACACUAACUAAACCCUAGGAAAGUGCGACUAGUGAUAAAUGACGGAGUAAGUAGGAUUGCCACCGCCAUAGAACGUGAUAGCCAUUAUGUGUUGGCAAUAAUUGUGAGGACGGAUAGGACGAGCAUGCAUCAUGACAUACAAUUGUAAGUUAAGCCUCCUAUAUAGUAGCUUAGUACAUGUUUCGUCCACCCUAUUCCUGCUAUCUGUCUUUGUGUUUCUAUGCUACCUUUUCCUGUUCACGAAGACUACCAAGCUUCGAAACAAAGGUUUUGGUGAACCUGUGGCUUAUAAGGAACAAUUGUCAGAAGAUCUUCCAAUAGUGCACAACAUGUUCCACGUGUCCCAGUUAAAGAAAUGUUUUUGAGUCCUCAAGCAUGUUAUUGGGAUUUCAGAUGUUAACCUUGGACCAGAUUUAACCUACUUGGAAUAUUCCAUAAAGGUUUUGGAUCAAAAGGAUCGGUCAAUUGAAGAAAAGUUAUCAAGUUUUAUAAGCUACAGUGGAACCAACCCAUGGAAGAUGAAACCACAUAGAAAUUGGAGGAGUAUCUGGAAGAGCGUGUUCCUGAGUUUCUAGUGCCCUGUAAACCUAAGGUUUGUGUAGUUUAUUUCUGAUAUAAACCAAUAGGGGAACACCCCUGCCUUGUAGGAGUAAUGGGAAAUAAGCCAGUGACACAUUUCCUUUUCCAUUACCUAGCCUAGAGUUUUAAAUCUCGGGACGAGAUUUCUUUUUAGGGGGGAAGACUGUAACACCCCUGGUGUUACGUGAACUAAAACUCUGACAUGUCAUCAUAAGCAUUUGCAUUAACUUGCUUGUUACACCUAGAAUGCAUUUACUAGGUUAAAUUUUUUGAUUCAAAAGUGUGAUGUUGUGUGUCGAGUAUAGGACUUAGGUUGAAAAACUUGCUUGGAAUUAUGGAUAAACAAAAUAAUUCCUAAACCGAGGACUGGUUGGGAAUGGGCUGCAUAUACUAAAGUUGGAUCUUAGACUAGAGAGUAACUUUGUUUUGAUGAAUGGAUCAAAGGGAUGAAUCCCUAGAAGAAGCUGAAACACAAAUGAAACUCAUUUGAAACCCUAAACUAACCCUAAAUGUGGAAUUCAAAAUCUAGAAGGAUUUAGCUAAAAGUCCAUAUACCAAGGUUGUAGAACUUGGAAAAGUGAAUAAAUUUCAUAUAUGGAGAAUUCCAAGUUGUGUGGAGAAAUUUGGAGUAAUUUGCAAAAUUUCAGCUUGGGUUCAGUUUGAAUUGGGCUGAAAACAGUUUCAUAUAGCUGUUUUUGGACCCUUAUAACUUUUGAUCUAUGGACUUUUGGUAAAGAGUUACUAUAACAAACUUGUAAAGUGACUGUUGUAGAAAAAUCCUUAUUAAGUGUACCAGCCCUAAAACUAUAUGCAACUGGCUGAAAAAGUGGUCCAAUUUAGGGCUGUCAGAUUUCAGACUUAGUGUAAAUGCAAAUCCUGAAUUUCAGUGUUUUGGUGUAACUUUGGAGCUCUCUAUUGCUCUAUCCAUAGGGUUAUAGGUUAUGAUCAUUAUAACACAAUUAUAGAGCUAAUUGAUGAGUAUAAAUUUGAUUAAGACACUUAGCCCUAAAGCUAUUUGAAACCUAGAGAAAAGCUGGUCUAAAGUAGAGCUGUCUGAAAGUGUGGAUUUCAGACUUAGUGAAAUUCAGUCUGAAUUUCAGUAAUUUGGGCAAACUUUGGACCUCUGUAGUUUGGAAUCCAAGAAGUUUUCGUUAAUGACCACUAUAGAAAAAUUGUAGAAUAAGUAUAGGAGAGCAACUUUUAUUAAGUGUGACAGCCCUGGAACUAUAUACAACUAGGCGAAAAGGUGAUCCAAAGUGGGGUUGUCAGACUUUUUGAGUUUUCAGCUUGGGAACAGUGAACUGAAACUAAGAUUUAAGUAUAUGUAGCUGUUUUUGGAGCUCAAUUGUGCCUAAUCCAUGAGGUUUUGGGCUGUAGAGUAUAUAGAGGAAUUAAAUACCAUAUGAUGGUGAAUAAGUCUCCUUAAGUGACUUUGGUUUGAUCCUACACAAAAGUGGGAGAGAAAGCUUGCUCAAGGUUGGACUGACAGACAGUGCUUUAACUGCAUUUGGUUCAGUUCUGAAAUCUGAAAUUUGUUGUUUGGUGCCAUGUUUGGAGCCCUUUUGUGGUUGUUCUAUAAGGUUUUGGACUGAGGUUUUUGUAGUGGAAGUGAAGAACACUCAAUGGUGAACAACUGUAUUAAAGGAUGAUGGACAUGAUCCUAUAUGAAAAUUGGAGUAACAGCUGCUCAAAAUUUGACUGUCAGGUGGUUGGUGACUUAGUUUAUUCAGAACUGAAAGUCUGAAAUCAAUAUUUUUAGUGCAGUUUUGGAGCUGUGUAGUGUCUGUUCUAGGUGGUUUUAAACCUGAAUUUAUGUAUCAAGUUUGAAGACCAUGUGUUAUAGAACAACUUCCUUUAAGUGAGUUGGGCUUGACCCCACACACAAAGUGGUGUAAAGAUUGCCCAAAAAUGGACUCUCAGUUGCAGAGACUGAAUUUCAUCCAGCUGCCUGAAAACUGAAUUUGCAGUGUGUGGUGUCAGUUUAGGAACACUUUUGUGACCAUUCCAUCAGGUUUUAGACUAGGAACUAUAUAACAAAGUUGGAUAUCAUGUGAUGAGGAACAAGUAUCCUAAAGUGAGUUUGACAUGGUGUUGUAUAAAUUUUGGAGUAAAAUGCACCCAUAACUCCUCUGUCAGGCUGUCUAUGGGUUGUUUCAGUUAACUGAAACAAAUAUUCAGGGAGCUGGGUUCAUUUUGAGCCCAUGCAGUUUCUGUUCUCGGUAAUUUCGACAUUGGAUUGUUGAAGCAACCUGAUAGAACUAUGUUUAGAGAAUAACUUUGGUUAAGAAGGUUUGGUCUGCUGCUAUGUGAAAGUGUGAGAUAAAAGGGGCUAUACAUGGAGGUGGGUAAAUGGGACAGUGAUGGUUGUUUCAGUCGACCUGUGCUGCUUCUAGAAACCUGAAGAAGAUAACCCCCUCCCUGCUGGUGUCGCUUGUGAAUUUUGAUGGAGAUAAGGAUCUGGUACAUAGCUCAAGUGCUAGAUGCCCCACUUUCUAUGGAAAAAAAAAUCAAAUACUAGCUGUUUUGUGGGCAGUGAGCAGCAGCAUCCUUAUCCAAUUUGUUUACUGUCUGCAGUAAUGGACAAAGGGGAUAUUUGUGUUGAGUUGAAGAGCUGGCGUGGUGUUUGUGCUUGUAUGCCACGUUUUUGAGUCCCUGCUGUGCUGGCGACCUGGGAACGCUUCUCCACUGGUUUUGAGACAAGUUCAGCGAACCCUGCCAUAGACUUCCCAUUCCUUUGUUUAAAUCUUGGUCCAGAAGACCUUGCUGUCUAGAGAGCUUUGGCUACAGCUAUUGACUCCCUAUACCCUUGCUACCCGUGGUGAUCAUGCAGUAAAAGUAUGGAGCAUAUUAGCCUUGUUGGUCCCCUAUGAUUGAGCUUCUGCAGGGCCACAACAAAUCAGUUGUGUAUAUCUGUUUGUUCUAGUCUUUGAAGGCACAAACCCCACACUGUUGUCCUCCUGUUGUUUCCCCAGCGUGUUCAUCGUGUGAGUGAAGGAGUUGUGGUGUUCAGGUCUGAGUAAUCUCCCUUCCGACUCCCCAGUUUGGUCUGCUCCUGAGCGAUGUGUCAUAUUCUCGGCCUGGUGACCAGCCCAGCCGACUAUCCCCCUCAUAAACGCCUCAAAGGUUUGUAUGCCUGCGUGAUGCUUGUUCCAAGCUCUCCUUAGAUCAGUGAAGCUCGCCGAAGAGGUUUUUCUAACUCAACCAUGGUGAUUUGUUCAGAACACGACCUCGACGUUGCGGAGCGCCGCCGUGAACCACCCAAUCGUCAACCGGUCACCUUGUGUUUUCUCUGAGCAAGAUUAGGUGAGCACGGUGUCCUUAUUGAGCUUGUGAUACUUCCCGUGCUCUUGAUUUGAACGCUACUGCGCGGCGGUUGGGGAAUCGUGCCCACCAGACCGAGGUUUCCGCCGCCAUUGUCGGUAGCACGGUUGUAGUAUCUUUGCAGGUUGAUCUAAUGCAUGCUCGAGUUCACUGUAAUCCAGGGACCCUGUUAGUGACCUCGCGGUUACCUGUGUCGCACCAUGGUGGUCGUUUAGUCGUCGGCUCGCCAGAGUGGACGGCGGAGUGUUGUGGCCGAGCGUUUGUAAAAGGAGAUAAACCGAAGAACUUAAGUGCUUCUGUCAGUGGAAUAGGGCAAUAGUGGCCUGGGUUCCGUUGGAUUAUUCCAGGCACGUGGGUCCUUUGCGCAAAAGAACAAACGCAAGCGUGGGCUCUCAGCCGCAUGCCAGCCCUGCUCGGUAAUGUGCUGCGUGGGCCGGAUUCAGCCCGCAAUUUAAUGCCUUCCCUUUAUUUAUUUAGCUGAGAGCUUGUUAAUUAGACCACAAAUUGUACAAAAAUAGUAUAAAAUCAUGUACUUUCUAGUAAAAAAAUAAAUUUAGGAUUUUUACGACAGAUGCCAAAUUUCAGGGAAUAAAUUUUAGAAAUAAGAAUUGAGCACCAAAAAUCAUGGAAUUUUUUUUGAGAAAUUUGUUAUCAGAAGCUGAUCACUUGGUAAAAGUUUGGUGCUGUUUGUAAGCCAUUUGUUCAGAAAUCCUUGUAGAGUCCCUAAUUGAAAUAAUAAGAAGAACAUAAUCACAUGUGGAUUAGAAAUUUGGAAAAAGGAACAAGUUUAACAAGUGAAACCUGAUCUUUGGAUAAAGAAGCAAGAGUGCCUAGUGGGAUCUGGAUUUUUGGUGUAGUUUGAAGAUUGUUCUAAUUCUCUAGAAGUUCAAGUUGUAGGAUUCAAGUCAGAAAAGUAAGUCCUUACUUAAGUCAAGCAUAGAGUUAUUGGUUAUGGAGACAGAGUUCCCUAGUGUGGCUUGAGAGCUUAGUGAUGAUAUUAGAAUGUUUAGCUCCCCUGUUGUUUGGUUAGUUUUGUGUGCACCUUUAGUAAGGUGUAGUUUGUACUGCUUUAGAGUAUCUUCUUUGUAGUUGCACAAGUAUAUGCAUUCAUGUUCAUAUCAUUUCAUGUAGAGCUCCGAGCAGAAGGAGUGUAAAUUCAAGACGAAGUGGUUGUGGAAGAGGAGUUUGCUCGAGUGCCUAUUCAGCAAGUGGAUAGAGCUAUCUAACUGGUUAUUGGGUAGAAAGGUCUUGAGCCUCUUCACUGCAACAAAGGCAAGCCCCGGUGCAUUUACCCUUCCUUGUAUUUUUAAAAAGACUUUUAUACACUUAAGUCUAGUGAAAUGUGCAUUAAGUUUAUAGGAAUUGCUUGGAAACUAUUUGAUGCAUUGCCUACCUUGAUAUCCAUACCUUUAUAGAUACUUCUGAUGAAGUAUCAAAAUAUGAUUUACAAAAAUGCUUAGCCCUGCUUAGAUCUUGUGGAUAGAGGCUGUCUUUUGCAAUAAUGCCUAGCUCAGGGGUUAUCCUGAGGAAGGAUGGCUUCUACCUGCAAGAAUAUUUUCAUUGGGAGCAUGGUGGGAUCUUACUGCAAAGUUCCCUAUAAUGCUCUUUUCAUCCUAAGGAACACAAACAAUCCUAAGGAUGGAAGUACUUAAAUCGGGACUUGGG